GAGCCACUCUCGGCAGAGCGGUUCCCGGCGCCUCCCUUCAGCCUCGCCCCGCCUCUCGUCGCCUUUCCCGCCGACCCGACCUGCGACCUUUCUCCCACCGCCUGGACCGUGCACCCGCAGCGGUGGGCCUCGGAACCCCUCUCGCCUCAGCCACACCACCCAGCGCCCGGGUCUACGCCGCACACGGCGGUAGCGGCGGGCGCGGAGGCCGCGGCUGGGAGGGUGCGGGGCCCCGCGGGGUGCCGGCCGCGCAGCGUCUCGCCGCCGUCAGUGCUCGCUGGGCGCGAGGGGACCGUCGCGCCUGGCUCAGCCUCCCGUUCGUGCCCUCGGACGGCAGCCCGCUGCUGAAAGCAGGCGGGCGGAGCGGGCGCGGAAGAAACCCCGGAGGAGGGUUAAGAGCUAACUUUCCCAGGGCUGCUCAUGGGAUCUUGCAGGCUGUCUGCCGUGACUUCAGAGGGCACCAGCGAGACAAUGCAGCAUGAUCUCCUUCUUCUGUAAGGGACCCUAAGUGGUGUCCAACAUUUCAUCCAUGUCAAUGUGACUUGACUGACGCAUCUGACCUUGUCCAGAUUUCUAGGUCAAAGGAGGUGACCGUUUUUGUCCUUUGACGACUUCUCCGGCUCUUGAGGCAAUUCCAUGCCAAUGAGCUUAGCUUGGCUGGUUAGCAAGUAAGGUGGGAACUGGCGUGGAAGAAGGGAACUGGUGGUUCUUGGAGAACUUUGAAACCCGUGCUUUGAUGUUUUAAUUUUACUUAAGGGAUUUGGGGGCAUCGAGGCUUUUUGAGAAUGACGGUAAUGUUAGAAGUCCGACGGAAGAAAGAUUCCUUUGACUUGGGGUCAGAUGCACGAGAGGAAGAUGGGGAGAUUAGAGAAGGUCCAUUAAGAGAUGAUUAGAAUAACGCUGGGAGGAUGUCAGCCUUGAAACCGUGAACGGCUUUAAACAUCACUUAGGUUCCUAUUUUAUGAUUAAUGGUUGUGUGCCACUGAAUUCGGACCCAAUCUAGACCUCAGCGGUGCAGCGUUGGUUCUGCCAUGAUGCGGUUACUCUUUGGAAAUGAGAAUACAAUUUAAUCAUACGGCUCUGCCAUUCAGAGGGACCUUCCUGCUCACUCGGCCCCCGGGACUGGACUCUCGACCGGGUGCCGAGCCUUGUUUGCUGCCUGUGAGGUUAGGCACCAACUGCCUCUCAGGCCACCGCAGUUGUCACAACUGGCAGAUCUGCUUCACCACUGCAGGCCAUGUCCUGAUCCAAACAGAAACUUGAAUCUGCUCGCACAUGCGUCUUUUUCCAGGCUCCAGUCCAAUAUCCCAUAGUAGCUUCAGCUACUUUUUACUAAACACAUCUCUGGGUUUCGAUGUGGUUUCCCCUCGGUGAUUCUUUUUCUGAGGUUUAUCUCAUGCCUUCCUCUGGAUUUUGCAGUCCCUGGAUCAUCAGAAAUGAAUCUUUGGAGCUGCCUCGGCCUGAGCGUUUUCACUCCCAAGUUUUCACUUGAUUUAAGCUUUGAGAGUGCACGAAGUCCUAGAGGGGAUAGACGUCCAAGGUCUAGAUUGUGACAAGAACUGCCUUCUGCCAGAACACCAUUUCCACCAGCACAUCUUAUUUUCCUUCUGUUUCAUACACACUUGGUCUUGUUCUGGAAGUUACUGGCUGGGGAGAAGAGGACAGAAGUGCACGGUUUCCAUGGGCAACAAGUGUGAUUGUUCAUGAUAGUGUGUGACAAGGAAGAAAGAUAGACAAUUACAUAUCGUAAGAUCUUAAUUUUGUUACAACCAAGAAUUAAAACAAAACAAAUAUAUAUAUGUGUGUGUAUAUAUAUAUAUAUAUAUAUAUACAUAUAUAUACACAGAUUUAAAAACUAGAAAAAUCCAUAAAAUCUUAACACCAGUGAUUUCUAAGUAGAGGAAUUACAAUUUUUUGCUUAUUUUUCUUUUCCUCCACAAGUUGUUUAAAAUAAAGAUGUACUGCUUUUAUAAUGAGGGAAAAAAAUAAGGAUAAUGAGUAUCUUGAAAUCACAAAGGAACACAGAGGGCUUAAAACUUUCUUUGUGCUUGGUGGAAGACAGGAGAUACAGAAUCGGAGGCAAUGCAAAGCAGGCCCUUUGCUUUUUCAUGCCAGCUGCUUCCAGAGGUGGUCAGUGAGUGACUGUCACCCCUGAGGGGCCAGGGGCAGUUGUGAUGGGGACGUGCCCGGCACCAUGCCACACCUGCGGCUUCCUUAGAUAGUCCGACAGGAGUGACCAGUGUUGCAAGUCCUAUUAUUUUGAGUACCAGCCAUAUAUAAUCAUCCUAGAGUCUUGUUCUGAAUGCUGGUACAUUCCAGACAAUUCCAGUACAUUCCAGUACAGUCCAGUCCACUCAUUCUUUUAAAAAAGAGGCGGUUGAGAAGUGUGAUAACUGACGUGACAGGUUUGCCUAAAUUCAAGUACUUUCCUGAAAUCUGUAUGUAAAACUACACCAGGAAAGGCCAGAGUCAUUACUUACGGGAGUACCCAGGGGGGACCCUUGCUCAUUUCGAUCCCUUCCUUCUGCAUCAUGUGCCCCUCCUGGCAUCUCCCUGGCAAUGCCAGGACCAGGGUGUUGCAGCUCCCACAGAGAAGCCCACAACUUAGAAGGAUUAGAAGGAAUAAGAAGUCUUUUUGCUUCUGUUUUUGAGGGGGAUGGUUUUGCCCUGGUGGCUCCCUUUUCACUGAGAAGCAUGAAACAUACUCGUCUCCUCCUCCUCCGUGGGGUCUCAAAGAACCACGGUUUCCUGCCCCAUUUGACCACAGUGGAGCCUCUCCGGAAUUCCCACAGAUUUGUGGGAUUUGAGGGCAGAGCUGGAAUAAACGUCUUCUCAGCAACCAUAAUCACUGGGGUUGGGACCUCACUGGACUGAGAGGGAACCUGGGUUACCCCAAGCAAUACCGGGAGGUGAGAGAAGUGUGUCUCCUGCCCCUAGACUUUUCUAUACCUUGCUCUUUUUUUCAACCCCAUCUGGGGAGGAUCUCAAGAACCAACUCAACCCAAGCGGGGAUGACAAAGGAGACUUAAACUAUUCCUUCUCUCAGGACAUGCCUUUUGAUUGGGGAAGAAGACCGAAGCCAGUGGAAUCAGGGGCUAAUUAUGACAUCUCAGGCAUCUGGUAUCAGAUAAGGGAGGUGUUGGGUAGCGAUGGAUGUUGAAAAUAAUCCUACUCCAGCUCUGAAAUCAAUUCAAUCAUUCAUUACUUAACAAAUAUUUAUUGAGCACCUAUAACGCAUGAGGCACUAUACACAAUGAAGAACAAUACAGACAUCGUCUUUACCCUCAUGGAGCUCCAGGUUAGCUCUGGACAAGCAAUACAUUAUUCCAUGAAAUCAUGAGACUCAUUUUCACUGGUGGCUUAUGAAAAGAAAUUCCAUUUUAUUUGAGUAGCGCUUGCAUUUUGCUCAGUGGUCUUGGUAUCUUCAGAAGUCAUCUGGUCACACAUCAUAUAGAAGCAUUCUAUUCAUACUAUUUUUACCUGGUCCAUAGAGCAUCAAGUUGAUUAAAACAAAUUUAAUUCUUUAGUAAACAAUGGAAUAGUAGUUUGGUGUAUCUGGGAUUUCCCUGUUGGACGCAUCUGGCGUGUGUGUGCGCAUGUGUGCGUGUGUGUGCGUUUGCCUACCCAGCAUUAUUCCCUUUGGUAACAGCACCCCAUUUGAGCUCUGUUGUUCCCAUUCACAGUCCUUGCCGAUUGCACAGGAUUGACCCUUAGCUCCUGGCAGGGGGUCAGGGUGGUGGUGUCAUGUGACCCAGGCCUGGCCAAUCUGAACUCUGAACUCUGCACCUCCUUGGUCACAAAGACUGGUUCAGCUAGGAACAUGUGAUCCACAGGGGCCUAUAGAAAACCUUUUCAGGAUUCCCCCCCUCCCCCCCCCCCCGUUAUCAGAAAAGAAUCUGCUUUUCUCAAUUGGUUUGCAGGCUGUGAAGAGCCUGGUUGGGAAUAUGGCCAACACAGAGGAAAGCAGAGACCAAGAAUGAGAGGUUUCUGAUACUGAGUGUUGUAUUUAGGCCUAUCCAUGGAUUUGUAUGUUACUCAGUAUAUAGGUAGGGAGAGAGAGAAAGGCAGGGGGAGAGAGGGAGAGAGAGGUUGAUUCAUAUAGUUUUGUUUUUCAUCAGCCAAUUUGAGUUGGGCUUCUUUCAUUAGCAACUGAAGGUCCUCAUUCAUUCAACUAAACUAUUACACUCCCUAAAGUAUUUAAUCAAAAGAAGAUGAUGAACCGAUUGCCUGUCCACUAGUUUCUUCCUUUUACUGGACAUAUAUUUAUUGUCUAGUCUACUGAUCACAGGCCCAAACCAACGUGGUUCAGGGUGACCUCAGUGAGGAGAGUGGAGGGCUCAGACCCCGGGGCUUCUUGUGGUCAUCUGGUUCCACAUGCAACUGAAACAGUGUCACAGCCCCCUAUUAAACACUGGCAUAUCCUUUCAAAGCAUCCGGGGUUUUUUCCUUGCUCCGUUUCUGGAGAAAGGAAGGAUACAGUUUAAAAUUCAAGCUGGAUGACAAAGGUACAGGAGGAGGGACUCUGUCCCCUUUCUUUAGCCUUGUAGCUGUGAAGAACCAGUGUUUUAUUUCAAGCCUAUUAGGGAAGCCCGAAGGAAACACAAUCUUCCUGGCCCGGUAAGGACCUGGAGCUACCUAAGACAGCCAUAGAUUCCUUUGAUCCUCAACUUUGAGAUCCCAGAUCUGCAAAUGCAACACAUAAUCAGAGUUGUUUCGGGAAAGGAGAGUGAUAACCAGCUGGCCUAGCCUGUGGCAGGACCCGAGGUUCUGAGGUUCCUGCACUUUGUGAACUCCCUGCUGAGAGCCCCCAUCACUAAUGACAACCUCUGGGAAUAGGGUCUCUGUUUUCUCACAAAAGAGAUUCAGGAAUGUGACUAAUAGGGACCCAGGCAGACAGAAAGGUAUUCUGACCCCAUCACACCUGCUCCUUCAGUGUCACAUUCCUGUCAUUUUGUAUUGCUCCUUACUCACCUGCUGCUGUAAGGUGUAGCCGCUCCAGACAAAAAAUCGUUUCAUCUUCACAUCUACAUCCCAUGCUUUCUGUUCCAGUCCUUUUUCAAGUCAAGGAAAGUGGCAGAUGUCCCCUUUAUGUCACACAUGCUCAUAAUCAUGCACACAUUCACUAAACUCUGGUCUGAAUAUGCGUGCGUGUAGAAAUAACCCAAAGACAUAUAUAAUCGUUUGCGGGGGGGGGGUGUAUACAUCUCUGUUGAUGAUAGAUAGAUAGAUGAUUGGAUGGACAGAUAUACAUUAUAUAGACCUCAAAUUAACUGAAACACACAUCUCUC